GUGGGGAAUAUUGCACAAUGGGCGCAAGCCUGAUGCAGCAAUGCCGCGUGAGUGAAGACGGCCUUAGGGUUGUAAAACUCUUUCGCCAGGGAAGAUAAUGACGGUACCUGGUAAAGAAGCCCCGGCUAACUCCGUGCCAGCAGCCGCGGUAAUACGGAGGGGGCUAGCGUUGUUCGGAAUUACUGGGCGUAAAGAGUUCGUAGGCGGACUGACAAGUUGAGGGUGAAAUCCCAGGGCUCAACCCUGGAACUGCCUCCAAAACUGUCAGACUAGAGACCGGAAGAGGUUAGGGGAAUACCUAGUGUAGAGGUGAAAUUCGUAGAUAUUAGGUGGAACACCAGUGGCGAAGGCGCCUAACUGGUCCGGUACUGACGCUGAGGAACGAAAGCGUGGGGAGCAAACAGG
rnacentral:rRNA from 1 species